UACAGAGGGGGCAAGCGUUGUUCGGAAUUACUGGGCGUAAAGGGCGCGUAGGCGGCCUGCUAAGUCGAACGUGAAAUCCCCGGGCUCAACCCGGGAACUGCGUCCGAGACUGGCGGGCUUGAAUCCGGGAGAGGGAUGCGGAAUUCCAGGUGUAGCGGUGAAAUGCGUAGAUAUCGGGAGGAACACCAGUGGCGAAGGCGGCUUCCUGGCCUGUUCUUGACGCUGAGGCGCGAAAGCUAGGGGAGCAAACGGG
rnacentral:rRNA from 1 species